rnacentral:rRNA from 1 species
UACAGAGGGGGCAAGCGUUGUUCGGAAUUACUGGGCGUAAAGGGCGCGUAGGCGGCCUUCUAAGUCGAACGUGAAAUCCCCGGGCUCAACCCGGGAACUGCGUCCGAUACUGGAAGGCUUGAAUCCGGGAGAGGGAUGUGGAAUUCCAGGUGUAGCGGUGAAAUGCGUAGAUAUCUGGAGGAACACCGGUGGCGAAGGCGGCAUCCUGGGCCGACAUUGACGCUGAGGCGCGAAAGCCAGGGGAGCAAAGCGGG